UACGAAGGGUGCAAGCGUUACUCGGAAUUACUGGGCGUAAAGCGUGCGUAGGCGGUUUGUUAAGUCUGUCGUGAAAGCCCCGGGCUCAACCUGGGAAUGGCGAUGGAUACUGGCGAGCUAGAGUACGGUAGAGGAGAGUGGAAUUCCCGGUGUAGCAGUGAAAUGCGCAGAUAUCAGGAGGAACACCGGUGGCGAAGGCGGUUCUCUGGGCCUUACCUGACGCUGAGGAGCGAAAGCGUGGGGAGCAAACAGG
rnacentral:rRNA from 1 species